rnacentral:rRNA from 1 species
GGUUUGGUGGCGAUAGCGAGAGCAAAACACCCGGUCCCAUCCCGAACCCGGAAGUUAAGUGCCUUUGCGCCAAUGGUACUGCGUCUUAAGGCGUGGGAGAGUAGGUCACUGCCAAACCU